UACGUAGGGUGCAAGCGUUAAUCGGAAUUACUGGGCGUAAAGCGUGCGCAGGCGGUUAUAUAAGACAGUUGUGAAAUCCCCGGGCUCAACCUGGGAACUGCAUCUGUGACUGUAUAGCUAGAGUACGGUAGAGGGGGAUGGAAUUCCGCGUGUAGCAGUGAAAUGCGUAGAUAUGCGGAGGAACACCGAUGGCGAAGGCAAUCCCCUGGGCCUGCACUGACGCUCAUGCACGAAAGCGUGGGGAGCAAACAGG
rnacentral:rRNA from 1 species